rnacentral:rRNA from 1 species
AGUGAACGCUGGCGGCGUGCCUAAUACAUGCAAGUCGAACGGAGUGGGGCACGGGGGAGUAAUAUAUAUCUAAUCUGCCCCUUGCUGGAGGACAACCGUCUGAAAUGACUGCUAAUACUCCAUAGCAAGGGAUGAGACUAUAUCGUAUCAGCUAGUCGGUGGGGUAAAGGCCUACCGAGGCUAUGACGCGUAACUGGUCUGUGAGGAUGAUCAGUCAAAUUGGAACUGAGGCACGGUCCAAACUCCUACGGGAGGGAGCAGUAGGGAAUAUCGCGCAAUGGGGGAGACCCUGACGCAGCAACGCGGCGUAGAGGAUGACACUUUUCGGAGCGUAAACUCCUUUUGUUAGGGAAGCGGUACCUAACGAAUAAGCACCGGCUAACUCCGUGCCAGCAGCCGCGGUAAUAC